rnacentral:misc_RNA from 1 species
GAAAUGCGAUAAGUAAUGUGAAUUGCAUUAUUCUGUGAAUCAUCGAAUCUUUGAACGCAACUUGCACUUUCUAGGACUACUACUACUAGAGAGUAUACCUGUUUGAGUAUCAGAUGAUUCUAUAUCCAAACAAAGUGUUUGGGAAAUGAGAUAUUGUGAAUGAAUAAGCAUAUUUAUUCUAUCUUUAAAUGAAGAGAAUGAGGUGGCGUGGAAGAGGGAUAUAUUUUCUAGUAAAAGUCUUAAAGUGAGGUAAGAAAAAUGACGAAUUUUUCUCCCACUGGAUAGACAGUUUAUUACUAGAUCGACUUUUUCCUGUCAUUACUGUUUUUUCGAGAUUUUCUCACUAUUUGAAUUUUGAUCUCAAAUCAGGCAAGAGUACCCGCUGAACUUAA